rnacentral:rRNA from 1 species
AUUGAACGCUGGCGGCAGGCCUAACACAUGCAAGUCGAGCGGAUGAAGGGAGCUUGCUCCUGGAUUCAGCGGCGGACGGGUGAGUAAUGCCUAGGAAUCUGCCUGGUAGUGGGGGAUAACGUCCGGAAACGGGCGCUAAUACCGCAUACGUCCUGAGGGAGAAAGUGGGGGAUCUUCGGACCUCACGCUAUCAGAUGAGCCUAGGUCGGAUUAGCUAGUUGGUGGGGUAAAGGCCUACCAAGGCGACGAUCCGUAACUGGUCUGAGAGGAUGAUCAGUCACACUGGAACCGAGACACGGUCCAGACUCCUACGGGAGGUAGCAGUGGGGAAUAUUGGACAAUGGGCGAAAGCCUGAUCCAGCCAUGCCGCGUGUGUGAAGAAGGUCUUCGGAUUGUAAAGCACUUUAAGUUGGGAGGAAGGGCAGUAAGUUAAUACCUUGCUGUUUUGACGUUACCAACAGAAUAAGCACCGGCUAACUUCGUG